GGGAGCCACAGUACUCUGGUUAAGUGAUGCUGGUGGCAGUGCUGGACGAGGUGUGAAUCGCUGUGCUUUUUGAUUUAUUAUCUUCCAUGAUGGCAGAAGUUCAACUUUAUCUGGUCUGUACACGUGAUUACUGAUGUGGCCAAUGUUGGGAGGGGUGUUUUCUUUCCAAUCAUGUGGUGAUGACUAGAACAAAAAUCCCAUAAAAUAAAAAUAAGAAACUGGGUCAAAGACAAGAAGAGAGGAUCCAUAUGCUAAGUGGAUGAAUUAAUAUGUUUACUAUGGCUGAGCGGAAAAGUUUGGCUCGAGCAGCGAGAACAAAAGUUCAGCUUGGGAUCCCUGAAGCACCAUUAAAAAAAUCCGGCUACCCUGCUGGUUCUUCUACAUAGUCAAUAGAUUGUCUAAAUCUAGAGGCAGCAUCCCAUUUGGCACCAGCCUGACCUUAUCUGAUGUCGGUGAUGUGAGAGACUCCAAAAAGACAAAUGGAAAAUCUGUUCUGCUGAGCCUGGUCUACCCAUAGAGACAGGAGACAUGUUAACAUGGAUGACCUAAGCCACACUUCUGGAGCUGACUCAUAACCACGCUGGCUAUGAACUUCAUGCCCUCAGUACAGAGGCUGCUAAGAGUGAAUUGCAUUUUGCAGGAUUGUUAGGAAAGCAAAAACAAAAGCGACACCAGGCUUUGUGCUGGACCCAGAUGAAUCAGAAGACCACAGAGCACAUUAGUGAGCGGGGAUCUCACACCCCCCCCCCCUCCAGAAGGAAAGACUUUCAUAAAUGUUGAAGUCAGAGUGGGGUCCACCGUGGCUUAUGUAGAAAUCAGGGAACCUGUCUCUGCUUGAGUGGCACCUGGAAAGACUCCACAGAAUUCAUGUUUCUGGUAGAAAACAGAUGGGAGAGAGGGAUACAAUUCUAGCACCAUAACCUGGGACACUGUGCUGAAAGUCAGUGUUCCUAAAUAGAGGCUGAGGGCAGCUGAAUGUUCCUCACUGUAUCUAGCUGUUCCCAGGGCAGUUGGCUCAUGGCCUGGGAUUUCCCUCACCUCCGGUUUUAUGGCUUUCUGUUCUUCAGUUUUAG